rnacentral:rRNA from 1 species
CUGGGCGUUAAGUUGCAGGGUAUAGACCCGAAACCCGGUGAUCUAGCCAUGGGCAGGUUGAAGGUUGGGUAACACUAACUGGAGGACCGAACCGACUAAUGUUGAAAAAUUAGCGGAUGACUUGUGGCUGGGGGUGAAAGGCCAAUCAAACCGGGAGAUAGCUGGUUCUCCCCGAAAGCUAUUUAGGUAGCGCCUCGUGAAUUCAUCUCCGGGGGUAGAGCACUGUUUCGGCAAGGGGGUCAUCCCGACUUACCAACCCGAUGCAAACUGCGAAUACCGGAGAAUGUUAUCACGGGAGACACACGGCGGGUGCUAACGUCCGUCGUGAAGAGGGAAACAACCCAGACCGCCAGCUAAGGUCCCAAAGUCAUGGUUAAGUGGGAAACGAUGUGGGAAGGCCCAGACAGCCAGGAUGUUGGCUUAGAAGCAGCCAUCAUUUAAAGAAAGCGUAAUAGCUCACUGGUCGAGUCGGCCUGCGCGGAAGAUGUAACGGGGCUAAACCAUGCACCGAAGCUGCGGCAGCGACACUAUGUGUUGUUGGGUAGGGGAGCGUUCUGUAAGCCUGUGAAGGUGGCCUGUGAGGGUUGCUGGAGGUAUCAGAAGUGCGAAUGCUGACAUAAGUAACGAUAAAGCGGGUGAAAAGCCCGCUCGCCGGAAGACCAAGGGUUCCUGUCCAACGUUAAUCGGGGCAGGGUGAGUCGACCCCUAAGGCGAGGCCGAAAGGCGUAGUCGAUGGGAAACAGGUUAAUAUUCCUGUACUUGGUGUUACUGCGAAGGGGGGACGGAGAAGGCUAUGUUGGCCGGGCGACGGUUGUCCCGGUUUAAGCGUGUAGGCUGGUUUUCCAGGCAAAUCCGGAAAACCAAGGCUGAGGCGUGAUGACGAGGCACUACGGUGCUGAAGCGACAAAUGCCCUGCUUCCAGGAAAAGCCUCUAAGCAUCAGGUAACAUCAAAUCGUACCCCAAACCGACACAGGUGGUCAGGUAGAGAAUACCAAGGCGCUUGAGAGAACUCGGGUGAAGGAACUAGGCAAAAUGGUGCCGUAACUUCGGGAGAAGGCACGCUGAUAUGUAGGUGAAGCGACUUGCUCGUGGAGCUGAAAUCAGUCGAAGAUACCAGCUGGCUGCAACUGUUUAUUAAAAACACAGCACUGUGCAAACACGAAAGUGGACGUAUACGGUGUGACGCCUGCCCGGUGCCGGAAGGUUAAUUGAUGGGGUUAGCGGUAACGCGAAGCUCUUGAUCGAAGCCCCGGUAAACGGCGGCCGUAACUAUAACGGUCCUAAGGUAGCGAAAUUCCUUGUCGGGUAAGUUCCGACCUGCACGAAUGGCGUAAUGAUGGCCAGGCUGUCUCCACCCGAGACUCAGUGAAAUUGAACUCGCUGUGAAGAUGCAGUGUACCCGCGGCAAGACGGAAAGACCCCGUGAACCUUUACUAUAGCUUGACACUGAACAUUGAGCCUUGAUGUGUAGGAUAGGUGGGAGGCUUUGAAGUGUGGACGCCAGUCUGCAUGGAGCCGACCUUGAAAUACCACCCUUUAAUGUUUGAUGUUCUAACGUUGGCCCGUAAUCCGGGUUGCGGACAGUGUCUGGUGGGUAGUUUGACUGGGGCGGUCUCCUCCUAAAGAGUAACGGAGGAGCACGAAGGUUGGCUAAUCCUGGUCGGACAUCAGGAGGUUAGUGCAAUGGCAUAAGCCAGCUUGACUGCGAGCGUGACGGCGCGAGCAGGUGCGAAAGCAGGUCAUAGUGAUCCGGUGGUUCUGAAUGGAAGGGCCAUCGCUCAACGGAUAAAAGGUACUCCGGGGAUAACAGGCUGAUACCGCCCAAGAGUUCAUAUCGACGGCGGUGUUUGGCACCUCGAUGUCGGCUCAUCACAUCCUGGGGCUGAAGUAGGUCCCAAGGGUAUGGCUGUUCGCCAUUUAAAGUGGUACGCGAGCUGGGUUUAGAACGUCGUGAGACAGUUCGGUCCCUAUCUGCCGUGGGCGCUGGAGAACUGAGGGGGGCUGCUCCUAGUACGAGAGGACCGGAGUGGACGCAUCACUGGUGUUCGGGUUGUCAUGCCAAUGGCACUGCCCGGUAGCUAAAUGCGGAAGAGAUAAGUGCUGAAAGCAUCUAAGCACGAAACUUGCCCCGAGAUG